ACGGGAGGCAGCAGUGGGGAAUAUUGGGCAAUGGGCGCAAGCCUGACCCAGCAACGCCGCGUGAAGGAUGAAGGUCUUCGGAUUGUAAACUUCUUUAAUCAGGGAAGAAUAAAUGACCUACCUGAAGAAUAAGCUCCGGCUAACUACGUGCCAGCAGCCGCGGUAAUACGUAGGGAGCAAGCGUUAUCCGGAUUUACUGGGUGUAAAGGGCGUGUAGGCGGCUUGGCAAGUCAGAUGUGAAAUUCCGGGGCUUAACUCCGGCGCUGCAUCUGAAACUGCCAAGCUUGAGUACUGGAGAGGACAGUGGAAUUCCUAGUGUAGCGGUAAAAUGCGCAGAUAUUAGGAGGAACACCGGUGGCGAAGGCGACUGUCUGGACAGCAACUGACGCUGAGGCGCGAAAGCGUGGGGAGCAAACAGGAUUAGAUACCCUGGUA
rnacentral:rRNA from 1 species